rnacentral:rRNA from 1 species
AGUGGCGGACGGGUGAGUAACGCGUGGGUAACCUGCCUUACACAGGGGGAUAACACUUAGAAAUAGGUGCUAAUACCGCAUAAGCGCACAGUCCCGCAUGGGACAGUGUGAAAAACUGAGGUGGUGUAAGAUGGACCCGCGUCUGAUUAGCUAGUUGGUGGGGUAACGGCCCACCAAGGCGACGAUCAGUAGCCGGCCUGAGAGGGUGGACGGCCACAUUGGGACUGAGACACGGCCCAAACUCCUACGGGAGGCAGCAGUAGGGAAUCUUCCACAAUGGACGCAAGUCUGAUGGAGCAACGCCGCGUGAGUGAAGAAGGGUUUCGGCUCGUAAAGCUCUGUUGGUAGUGAAGAAAGAUAGAGGUAGUAACUGGCCUUUAUUUGACGGUAAUUACCUAGAAAGUCACGGCUAACUACGUGCCAGCAGCCGCGGUAAUGCGUAGGCGGCAAGCGUUGUCCGGAUUUAUUGGGCGUAAAGCGAGUGCAGGCGGUUCAAUAAGUCUGAUGUGAAAGCCUUCGGCUCAACCGGAGAAUUGCAUCAGAAACUGUUGAACUUGAGUGCAGAAGAGGAGAGUGGGACUCCAUGUGUAGCGGUGGAAUGCGUAGAUAUAUGGAAGAACACCAGUGGCGAAGGCGGCUCUCUGGUCUGCAACUGACGCUGAGGCUCGAAAGCAUGGGUAGCGAACAGGAUUAGAUACCCUGGUA